CUUUCUCUGCAACGCAACGCCAUCGUGAGAACAGUGCAGCGGGGGGACCCAAACAGUUCCCGCUGGGCUUAAGGGCCGGCCGUGGCACUUGGCCUGCGCCCGGAGGCGAGUUGUUGGAGACGCUGCGGGGCGCCCAGGCGCAACUUCGCUAAGUGCGGACUCCGGCCGCCAGACACCCGGGAGCUGGACCCUCCCGGAAGGGGAAGAAGGAGCAAACCGGAGAGAAAGAAGGAGCAGGUGGUUGUUUGAUGCAGCACUUGGUCUGAUCACAGAAUCCCACUGUGUUCUCCCAGAAGCCUUUGCCAGAGGUGGAUGGAAUCAUCAUUUCCAUUGUACAGAGGAAACUGAGGCUUGAGGGCAGAAGCGACAUACUUUGAGUCAGACAUCCAGUCUGCGGUGCUUUGUGAUGGCAGUCCUAGCAAACUAACACACUGCUGAACCAUUUCCCAGAGUGGCUGUACCAUUUCAUAUUCUCAUCAGCAAGUCCUCAUCACCUGGAAGCAGCUAGUGGCAUAUAGCUUGGUUCUGAAAAGGAGGAGAGGUCUGCAGGAGGUGGAGAAGGUCUGAGACCGUAGAAGGGCAGUGUCUCUCCACAAGCUCUACCAUGGCUUCCAGUCUCAGUCUGCUUUGAAUCAAGUAGAAGGCACAGAAAAGGAAUUUGCUCAAUCACUGAUGGGUGGGUGGACCAAGGAAAGACCCAGAAUUCACCAGCGUCAUUGUCUGGAGCAGAAGUAAUUCCUUUUGUAUCAUUUCAAUACACUGUUUGCUUCUUCUGCUGAUUAGGACAAACACAUAGUUACUAUCCAUUUAUUUGCAUGGCGCUGCCAGGACUCACCCUGAGAAGGGACAUGGUUGCCAAGGCUGCUAGCACCUGAUGUCCUCAGAGCUUCAGGAACUGCCCUCGCUGCAAGUGCUGCCGGUGUACUGGAGCCCUUGAGGCCUCAGCAUCCCCCCGCCAUCCUCCACAGUCCAGAAUCCCAGAGGGGGCAUGACCGGACAUGCUACGUUUGCUGUGUGUGCGCAUGUGUUUGUGUGUAACAGAGGCACAAGAAUGUCCUGACGUUGUGGCUUAGGGACAGAAAGGAAACUUCUUUGAGAGUUAGCCACCCUGGUGUUAUUAGACUUACAUUAUCACAUUAGGAUUAUUUUAAGUGGUCUGUAAGAAGAGUAAAGUGAAAGGCAGUGAGCACAUGAGAGGUUGCUGGGCUCCAGUUGUGAAAAUCACAAUGAGGAAACACCAGAGGCUUCUCAUUAGAACCAUGAAUGGAUUAUAGAACACCCACCACUACCAUUAUCAUUUGAUGUCUUUCCCAGUUUGUAGCUAGGGCAAUUAAAGAUGAAACAGAAACAAGAUUUAGAUCACUGGAAGGGAAAAGGCAAAAUUUUAUUAUUUGCAGAUGAUAUGAUUUUAUACCUCGCCUACUAAGAGAAUCAAACAAAAUGAACCCCGACUCUUGGAUUUCACAAGAAAGCUUAGUGGAUUUCGCAAGAGGGUUAUCCUGCUAGCAGGACAGAUAUACUAAAAUCAAAAGCUUUCCCACAUGCCAGCAGUGAUGGGCUCUAAGAUAUAAUGAGGGAGGGAGGAGGGAGAGAGAGAAAGAGGAGAGACAGAGUCCACUUUUAGAAGCAAAACUCGCAAAAUACUCAGAAAUGACCUUAAUGAGAAAUGUGCUGUGGGAUCUACGUAGGGGUCCCAUGUAAGAGAAAUCCCUAUGUAAAAAAAAAAUCUGCAGAGAUUUUAUAAAAAGAAAAAGGUAAGAAUUAAUGGGAAAUCGUACCGUGCUUUUUUUUUUUCUAAUUACAAAUGUUAUAUAUAUCUUCCUUCAUUAACUACUUAUUACAUUUGCAUUAUGGGCUGGGAUUUCAAUGGUGAAAAACACAGACAUGGUCCCCACCUUUAUGCAAUUUACAUUUGAGUGGAAGAGAUAGAUGAAAAAGAAUAAACAAAACAAAUUAUUCGUAUAAAUACAGCUCACAAUAAAUAUUCAAGAGAAGUGGCCUUUCCCUUUGACUUCUGUGGCCGAGCUCCCUGACAGACUCCUGUUCAGUCUUUACUGCAUAUGUCUUUACUGACUAUAACAAAUCUGUUAAAUAAGCAAUGAAUGAUGAAUCUAGUUUAACUAAGAAAAUAUGUAAACAGGGUACCAGUAAAUCGCCUGGGCUUUCAGUUAUGGAAGUCAGA